AUAUGAAAUACAAAUAAAGAAAUUUAUUUCGUUCGAGGGUAAAACAUUUUCCCGACGUUUACUAAAAACAAGCUCCUUGUAUAUCUCAUCAAGGGACCGUCCUCUAGUCUCUGGGAAAAAGAUGAUGCAGAACAAACAGGAUCCGAAACAGAUGAGCGCGAAGAUUAGGAAGGUGAACUGGAUGCCAAUGGCUUGGUUGAGGGCGUGGAAGCCCUUGACUUGGAUGAAGUUGGCACCUUUGCCGCACACGUUGAUGAAGGCCGAUACUUGACCCCGAAGCUGGAAAAAAGUCAAUAGUGCAUUUUUAUACAAGUGUGGAAAGUAAAAUUUUGUUUAUAUAACACUUAAAACCGUGUUUUUAACACAUAUUUAAACCAGGUCUAUCGUUUAUUUAUUUUAUUACCUUUAUUUACUACGUUUCGAUGCAUGCAAGCUUCACUGGUCGUGAUAGGUAGGUAGUGGAGAACUAUCGUCACAACAAAAAGCCAAAAUAGAGAUUUGUGUACCUACCCGAAAAAAAUCAAAUCAAAAAGUAGGCAUCACAAUUUCAAACCACCCACCACACAAGUUAAUUAUUGUCCAUAGUCCAACACACAAUAUUCACUACCUGCGCACACACAUCCGAAGAUAGAUCUCUUGGCUUUAUGUUAUGGAUCACUGGUUCCCAAGUUGGCAAAAAGGUACAUCUUUCUUAUUAAAAUGACAGGGGUGUUUACUGAUUUCAAUCGCUUCUCGCACAACUCGAGAGUAAUAAAGUUGUUCAGUGGAUUUUGGGCUUAUGAAGUUGAACCCAGUGAUUUGCGCCAGGUGUCAGAAGAUAGACCUGGUUUAAAUAUGUUUCAAUAAAAUGUUUGUUUGUUUUGAUGUUUUACAAUGACACAAACAUGUGCUAGCUAACAUAUUGAUAAUAUCUAAAUAUAUCAAGCACUGUGGCGAGCCUGUGUCAGUCUGUAUUUCAUUUUUUCAACUGCGCUCAGAUAAUAAUAUUAUGAUGUACCUAUGUACUUUUAAGUAUAAGUACUUAAAAUUGUUAUACAAGCGUUUUUCACACUGUGUAAAUGGAGUAUUGUAAGUAUAGUAAGUGCCCCAACUUAAGAACCUAUGUAACCACGUCGCCAUACUACUAACUGUAAAGAAAAAUGGAUACUAACGGUAGGACACCGACUGUACUAUUUUUGAUUACGAGUAUGUGCACCACAACACAAGAGCAACAACAAAUCCUUCUUGUUCCAUAUGAGGUAUUUCAAAACAGACGAAAAAACCCAAAUCAAGCCUCAUCGGCAAUUUAUGGUACUUUAGAAGGAAAAACAUACAAAAAAGUGGUGUUAUAUGGUGGUCUUUUCUGAGGCCGUUGCCCUAUAAAGGGUUAACUUUAUAGUUUUCCGCAGAAGACCAUCGCAUCAGGCUUGUCUGCGCAAGCACGCACCGAUUACUAUUAUCCAAUAAAAUGAAAAAGAAUUGCCUUGUUGCUGUGUAGAGUGCGGGCCAGCUCCCACCUCAUUCUGUCUACAGAGGGCUUACAGCGAAAGACGAAAAAUCAAAAUUUCGCUGUCUGCCUCUCUAUCGCUCUUACAUAUUCUAGUGAUAGAGAUGCAAAUAAAGAAAUUGCGCAUAUCGUUAUUUUGCAGUGGGCUCUCUGUUAUGUAGCGAGCCGAUAAUGCCGCAUUUUGCCUGUGUGAUUAUUUUUCUGUACCAUUCGCUUUCUGUUUCUGUUCCACUAACGGCCCGAUUCGAAUAAUGAGAUACGAUAAAGAUAAGUUCUGGUUUAUAUAAGUUCUCAUUUAGAUAUCGUUUAUAUGUCGUAUAAUUGACAAAAGCAGCUCGAUUCGGGCAACCAAUGUCACUUUGACAUCAGAAAUAUCGUAGAUAGAUCUUAGCGGAAUCUAAAUAAAGGUCAAUUUUGACAUGUCGUUUAGUUAUCGAUCUUUUAAAGAUAUUUCCAAGAUCUUAAACUUGUCUUAAUCAUUCUUCGGAUCGGGCCGUAAUACUUAGUUCUAUAGCCCGACCGGAAAUAUUUGAUCAUUGUCAAGAGGGCACUGUUGUGUCUCAUGUAUAGGGUGACAGUUCAGUUUAAUAUGAAAAUUUUUGGUCCAAUGAAAUUCCGCAAUAUGGCGCGUGAUCAUAUAUUACCGGUCAGGUUUUAAAUCUUAAAUGUAACUAACCAUUAUGGGUCAUUGUUUUAAGAAUAAAUGAAUUAAAAUUGAAUUUAUUCCUGGCAUCACUGGUCAGUUAACGUUGCAUUAGUACUAAACUUACAUGGAAUGUAAACAUGUCCGUAAUAACAAUGUAGGAGACGGGUUGAAAGCCAGCAGCGUCAGAGAUGAUGGCGAGGCACAGCGCCAGCACCGGGAUCCAGCCAGGCAGACUCCAACCUGAUGCCGUCAGGUAGAACCAGAUGGACAGUAUGCCCAUGCCCACGCCCAUUGUGAAUGAUGUGCCGACAAGCAGUUUCUGAAAUAUAGGAUUUCAAAAAUU